AUUUUUGUUUCUUCAUGUAAGUCUAAAUUAUUUAAUUAGGAUAAUGUGUCAGUACUAUAAUCAUUACAAAACCAGUUUAAGAAUUUGAUAUAUCUUUUGAAAAUUUGAUAGGUACAUCAAUACUUAUAAAUGAAUCUAGUGAUGAAGAGAGAACAUAUUCUUUCAGUCCAACAACAAGUCCUUUUGAUCCACGCUCACUUAACCAAGAACUUAAAAUUGGGAGAAUUGGUUACUGUUUUGAUUGCGCAAGAGCUUGUAUGAGACGGGGUAAGUAUAUUCGUACAUGUAGUUUUGAAAGAAAACUUUGUCGUUGCAGUAUUAGUGGUAUUAAAUAAGGCAUUGUAACUUUGUUAAACAUUAAUAAA
rnacentral:sRNA from 1 species